GUUUGUCGCGUCUGCUGUGAAAGCCCGAGGCUCAACCUCGGGUCUGCAGUGGGUACGGGCAGACUAGAGUGCAGUAGGGGAGACUGGAAUUCCUGGUGUAGCGGUGAAAUGCGCAGAUAUCAGGAGGAACACCGAUGGCGAAGGCAGGUCUCUGGGCUGUAACUGACGCUGAGGAGCGAAAGCAUGGGGAGCGAACAGGAUUAGAUACCCUGGUAGUCCAUGCCGUAAACGUUGGGCACUAGGUGUGGGGGACAUUCCACGUUUUCCGCGCCGUAGCUAACGCAUUAAGUGCCCCGCCUGGGGAGUACGGCCGCAAGGCUAAAACUCAAAGGAAUUGACGGGGGCCCGCACAAGCGGCGGAGCAUGCGGAUUAAUUCGAUGCAACGCGAAGAACCUUACCAAGGCUUGACAUGAACCGGAAACGGCCAGAGAUGGUCGCCCCACUUGUGGCUGGUUUACAGGUGGUGCAUGGUUGUCGUCAGCUCGUGUCGUGAGAUGUUGGGUUAAGUCCCGCAACGAGCGCAACCCUCGUUCUAUGUUGCCAGCGCGUGAUGGCGGGGACUCAUAGGAGACUGCCGGGGUCAACUCGGAGGAAGGUGGGGACGACGUCAAAUCAUCAUGCCCCUUAUGUCUUGGGCUUCACGCAUGCUACAAUGGCCGGUACAAAGGGUUGCGAUACUGUGAGGUGGAGCUAAUCCCAAAAAGCCGGUCUCAGUUCGGAUCGUGGUCUGCAACUCGACCACGUGAAGUCGGAGUCGCUAGUAAUCGC
rnacentral:rRNA from 1 species